AUCAUGGCUCAGAUUGAACGCUGGCGGCAGGCUUAACACAUGCAAGUCGAGCGGGGGAAGGUAGCUUGCUACUGGACCUAGCGGCGGACGGGUGAGUAAUGCUUAGGAAUCUGCCUAUUAGUGGGGGACAACAUCUCGAAAGGGAUGCUAAUACCGCAUACGUCCUACGGGAGAAAGCAGGGGAUCUUCGGACCUUGCGCUAAUAGAUGAGCCUAAGUCGGAUUAGCUAGUUGGUGGGGUAAAGGCCUACCAAGG
rnacentral:rRNA from 1 species